GGCGGCGUAGCUCAGCCGGUUAGAGCACGGCACUCAUAAUGCCGGGGUCGGCGGUUCAAGUCCGCCCGCCGCUACCA
rnacentral:tRNA from 2 species